UUUCUUUUUUAUUUUUUUCCUGGCACACCUUAAACAUAAGGGCUGGGUUUGCCGCUAAUCGCAAAUGAGUUGAUUCUGCCAUGGCUUACAUGAUUUACGGUUAAAUAGACUAUAUUGAUAAUGGAGGAAGGAUUUCACUGGCUGCAGUACCAAAAAUAAUCAUCUAUUCUUGUUGCAUAUGAAAUCAUUAGUCAGGGUCAGCCAAUAUCAUAUCCUGUCAUUAGUUAGCUCUAUUACAAUUUCUUUAGGGCUGAUCACAUGUUAUAAUAGCAAUGAAAAAAUUCUUACGUUGCUGCAUUACUGCAUACAAAUCUUUGUUGGCACUUGCUUCAUAGUCUCUGAUGCUGUUCAUAUUGAUUGAUUAGUAUUACUUAUGAUGGCCUUAUGGUCAAGUAGUAAGCAAGCACUAUCAGUGCCUUUGUGGUGACUUCCAUGCUCACCAUGAACCUAGGUUUCACAAUUUCUUUCCAUAGUCGUUUUGUUCUGCCAGUGCCAGAUAUGCUGUUCUGUAUGGAAUGCUGAUCCGACAAUGGUUUCUCUCGUUGUUUUUUCUAAUUACCAGAGCAGGAGCUAGGAGUAAACCAUUCCAUCUCUGUACCUAUCUUUACCUCCUAGCCAUCAUUUGACUUUUCUGACUGUCUACAGUGCUCUACAACAUCAAAACCAUUACUAUAACUAUCCACAAGUGGCAAAUGAUUCUUCUGUUCAAUGAGGAGUUGAUCAAGGUCCAGAUGCUGCUUACCAGCUUCUUACAUCGUUUCUGGAUUCAGGAUCUUAUGUUGGUCCAACAAGUAACACAUAUUAUACUGUUGGUGCUCAUCAGACCAUGCCAGGAUAUGCAACAAGCAAUUACUAUUAUCAUCAAAACAAUGCCUGGUAAUGGAAGUUCUGUGAAUAAUCAUGACCAGUUGUAUCAGAGUUUCACCCCAAAUAGUAAUGUAGCUCAGAGUUGUCGUUCACAUCCUACAAGCUCUGCCCACUACCAGCAGCAGUACAGCCAAUGAGCUAACUAUUAUGAUCAGUCUGCACAGAGUUCAGGUGGCCUUGCAGUUACUAGUAGUGGUAACUGGUAGCUCUGCUCCUGAUACAAGAACUAUUACCAUUGGUUCCAAUUAUGCACACACCAGCAACCAGCCACCUCCACCAGGCACUACAUUAUGGAAGAGAGAUGCUGGUAACACUGCUGCACCUUCGUCACUGGUAAAUCUGUUACUGUCCUGCGUCCUUUCCUUUCCUUUUAAUAUUUAGAGCAAUUAACAAGUGGUCAGACAACUGUCACCUUGAUUAUGUGCAACCCUCGAGAUUCAUGUUCUGUUGCAUAUGCCUUGUUAGGCCUGUCUGGGACACUCUAAGGGGUCGUUUGGCAGAUCUCCCACAGCUCCGCUCAUAGCGAGAAUUACUCCCGCAGAGCCAAAUGGUAAAAAUCUGAACUGCUCCAUGGCGAGAAUUUAUUUUGUACUAUAAAGUGGGAGCAAAAGAACAUGCUUCCCACCGCUUCCAACCUGCUCUCUACUCUCUAACCUCUUAGGAAUCACUUCACAGCCUAUUUGCCAAACAGUUUUUGUCAAAUAGAUUCACUUCUGCUAGAAAAUCAAUUAGAAUCACUCUAUUAGAGAAUCGGCUCUCGGAGCUAGAGAAUCAUGGAGCGGAGCUCUGCCAAACGAGUCCUAAUACUCUUAUGUAACCAGAUUCAUGCUGGAAUUUAUUAUACUUGACUACUUGUGAAACUCUUGUGUUCCAGACAUCCCCUUCGUUUUGGCUAAUAAUAAGAUUCCAGAAUGAGAUUCUACAAAUGAGGUAUGAACCAAACAGGGCCUUAGUGAGGUUGCAGUAUACGCAGACAAACAAAACGAAGCAUACAGAACAAUCCCCCAACCCUAAGGACAAGCUGCGUGGAGGUUCAGGAGCCUUUGCAUGCAAAAGGCGACAAGUAAACUAUUCUUGACUCUAUAAUGGUUUGACACAUACGAAUCUAACACAGAAGGUGACAGAACGAGGCCCCACAUGACAAAUGGCUUCUACAUUUUGUAUUGGAUUUUGUGCCAUAACUCACAACCUCAACAGAAAUUGAUAACGUGAUCUAUAUUGGAUUUUGUGCAUUAUCCAACUUCUCAAAAACCAUAGGGAACCAAACAUCACGUAACCUGGAUUUUGCCACACCAAGGCAAACAUCUAUGGCAUUCUAUUUGCAGCAUAUAUAUUGUGGCCAUGGGCACGCAGCCACUGCUUCAACUCCAGUACCGCCAUCUCCAUCGACUGGGGCAACUGCAACCGUCCCUGGUUUACUAUUGUGUACCUCUGCUGUGGGGAAGAAGGCUCAUAGCCAUGGGGGCGGACCCACUGGCCCAACUCUAGUGCUGUUGUCUCCGUAGAUUGGGGCAACUACAGGCUACAGCCAUCCCUAGCAGCUAGCUUCCAGUCGGGUACUGCUGGCAUGUCCGGUUGGCGGCCAGGUUCCUCCUUCUACAGCCUCGGUUGUAUUCUCUUGGUGGGUUUCUAAGUUAUCAACGGUUUCUAAGUUAUCUACAACCACCAUUUUCUCCAUUGAGUCAAGAUCCUGAACCAUCAUCAGAGGAUUUCUAUUUUGUUGGUAGCAGUCAGAACUUUGGUUCUUUCUCCCCGACACCAGCACCCUUUAGUAAAGGGACUCCACCAGCGAUUUCAGCAGCAGGAUCUAAGAAAAAUGACAUUGAUGACGACAAUGACGUCGAGGUCGACAGGAGUGCCACCCACGAUGAAGUUAGAUUGGCAAGUGCUUGGUUGAAUCAUUCUACCGACCCAAUUGAUGGCUAUGGGCUAUGGCAAGAAGAAUGAUAAAUUCUAGGAUCAAGUUUUUUUUUGAAAGGGAGGGCAAAAGAUUUGCCGCUCCAAUAUAUUAGAAAGGAGAUACACUUACAAGACACGCACUCGAAGACAAAGGGAGGAGAAAAGAAAGAAGAAGGACAAAAACAACCGUCUACUGAGCCUAAUCACAACUCCGAAACUACCUGGCACAAACUAACUCAAGAAAGCACCCACUAGCUCUUUCACUAAAGAAGCGAUCUGCUUUGCAUUUUUCUGCUGGUUCCUGAAGAUCCUGUUGUUUCUCUCUAACCAUAGGCUCCACCAAAAAUAGAUCAGAAGACCAUCGAAAUUUCUUCUAGAUUGCCUAUUACAGAGACCUCUUAUAUUUCUCCACCAACCAUACAACGACACGGAAGCCUGGAUUCCUCUCAGGAAGGAACAGUUCCCCAAUGUCAAUAUUUUAUCCCACACCUCUCUACUGAAAGGAUAAUCUUUGCAUAAAUAAGAUACCGUCUCCAACGCUGAGUUACAAAGACAGCAAACUAGGUUGCACUGUCAAUGUUUCUUCUGCAGGUUGUUAGCAGUCAGCACCACUUUAUUAUGUAAAAGAGUCCACGCAAAAAAAAUGUUAAUUCUAGGAUCAAGUUACAGAUGA